AAUUACUCAAUUUUUCUUUGAUAUUCUCUUUUUUUUUUCCAACUGAGUGAUAUUCCUUGGUGAGUGCUUAUUUCGAACCAUCGACUAUAUUUCGUUUUCUCAAAUUUUUUAUGGUCGUUUUUCUUCUUAUUAUUUAUUUUUUUAUUUUUUUCGUACUCGCCUUGGUUUUUGAUACUUAUGGGGUUUACCCCAAACUUAGAAUUUAACACAGCUUAAUGACAUCACAUUGACUCUGAACAGGGUAAGGAAGUGUUUU
rnacentral:lncRNA from 1 species